rnacentral:tRNA from 1 species
UGCGGGAUGGAGCAGUCUGGUAGCUCGUCGGGCUCAUAACCCGGGGGUCGUUGGGUCGAAUCCAGCCCCCGCUACCA